rnacentral:rRNA from 1 species
AACGAACGCUGGCGGCAUGCCUAACACAUGCAAGUCGAACGAGAUCUUCGGGUCUAGUGGCACACGGGUGCGCAACGCGUGGGAAUCUGCCCUUUGGUUCGGAAUAACAGUUGGAAACGACUGCUAAUACCGGAUGAUGACGAAAGUCCAAAGAUUUAUCGCCAGAGGAUGAGCCCGCGUAGGAUUAGCUAGUUGGUGUGGUAAAGGCGCACCAAGGCGACGAUCCUUAGCUGGUCUGAGAGGAUGAUCAGCCACACUGGGACUGAGACACGGCCCAGACUCCUACGGGAGGCAGCAGUGGGGAAUAUUGGACAAUGGGCGAAAGCCUGAUCCAGCAAUGCCGCGUGAGUGAUGAAGGCCUUAGGGUUGUAAAGCUCCUUUACCCGGGAUGAUAAUGACAGUACCGGGAGAAUAAGCUCCGGCUAACUCCGUGCCAGCCGCCGCGGUAA